GCCAUAUACUUUUCCCUUCUUCAUCUAUCUCUCUCUCUCUCUCUCUCUCUCUCUCUCUCUCGUUUUAUAUAUAUGCGGGAAGGUCAGGAGCUUUCACCUAACAUGAAGGCUAUAAAAGCCAGACAACGAUUUCUACCAGGUGGCUACUCAUCUGUCUCAUGCCAAAGUGAAAGCUUGAAGCAUGAAGGCUUUGAAUUUGGGGGUGCUGAGAGUUUGUUGUGUGAGAUGGGUUCGACUUGAUGUGAAUUGGGUGCUAUCCUACCUGAGCUUUGAUUCUUCCUUUUUCUUUCAUCCUUAUUCCUUCAUCCAACCAUUUUCUUCUUCUUGACCUUGUAAGACCUUUUCUUGACCUUGUAAGAUCUCACGCCGGGUCUGUUGUCUUUCUCAUCCGUAUUCUAACAAACUCUGCACCGGAAUUCUCCGAUGUAGAGUUUGGCCUCCGCUUCUUCCCGUUCCCUCCAUACCCUUCUUCUCCUUCCUUGUCUAUCCCUCCUGAGCUGUUCGGAAACUAUAUAUCUAUAUAUACAAUUCUGUCACACUCCCCGAUACCGACAUAAGUACGAAUCAAAGGUGUGAUAUAGCUAGGCAUCAAUGCUCGCCUGUAAAUCUGGGAAGGACUGAGAUGAUGAAAAUGCUAAUUGUAAUGUGGUCCUCCCAUAGUAGCUAGAGAGCAGUGAAAAAGGUGUAGUACUAGCAGAAUAUUAAUGACAUAUAUAUCAUUCUAUCUUGUUGUUAUUAUGAGAAGAAAUUGAAAUCAGAAUAAAAAAGAUGUGGCUUCGUUUCUUUCUUGCUA